UGGGGUGUCGCCAAGCGGUAAGGCAGCAGGUUUUGAUCCUGCCAUGCGUUGGUUCAAAUCCAGCCACCCCAGCCA
rnacentral:tRNA from 2 species